UGAGGAAUAUUGGACAAUGGGCGCAAGCCUGAUCCAGCCAUGCCGCGUGCAGGAAGAAGCAUCUAUGGUGUGUAAACUGCUUUUGUACGGGAAGAAACACUCCUUCGUGAAGGAGCUUGACGGUACCGUAAGAAUAAGGAUCGGCUAACUCCGUGCCAGCAGCCGCGGUAAUACGGAGGAUCCAAGCGUUAUCCGGAAUCAUUGGGUUUAAAGGGUCCGUAGGCGGUUUAGUAGGUCAGUGGUGAAAGCCCAUCGCUCAACGAUGGAACGGCCAUUGAUACUGCUAGACUUGAAUUACAAGGAAGUAACUAGAAUAUGUAGUGUAGCGGUGAAAUGCUUAGAUAUUACAUGGAAUACCAGUUGCGAAGGCAGGUUACUACUUGUGGAUUGACGCUGAUGGAUGAAAGCGUGGGGAGCGAACA
rnacentral:rRNA from 1 species